UACGGAGGGGGCUAGCGUUGUUCGGAAUUACUGGGCGUAAAGCGCACGUAGGCGGCUUUGUAAGUUAGAGGUGAAAGCCCGGGGCUCAACUCCGGAAUUGCCUUUAAGACUGCAUCGCUAGAAUUGUGGAGAGGUAAGUGGAAUUCCGAGUGUAGAGGUGAAAUUCGUAGAUAUUCGGAAGAACACCAGUGGCGAAGGCGACUUACUGGACACAUAUUGACGCUGAUGCACGAAAGCUAGGGGAGCAAACAGG
rnacentral:rRNA from 1 species